UACAGAGGGUGCGAGCGUUGUUCGGAAUUAUUGGGCGUAAAGCGCUUGUAGGCGGCACGUCAAGUCGCGUGUGAAAUCCCCAGGCUUAACCUGGGAAGUGCGCGCGAAACUGACGAGCUUGAGUGCCGGAGAGGGUCGCGGAAUUCCCGGUGUAGAGGUGAAAUGUGUAGAGAUCGGGAGGAACACCGGUGGCGAAGGCGGGUCUCCGGGCAUCUCCUGACGCUGAGGCGCGAAAGCGUGGGGAGCAAACGGG
rnacentral:rRNA from 1 species